rnacentral:rRNA from 1 species
AUUGAACGCUGGCGGCAGGCCUAACACAUGCAAGUCGAACGGUAACAGGGAUCAGCUUGCUGAUUCGCUGACGAGUGGCGGACGGGUGAGUAAUGUCUGGGAAACUGCCUGAUGGAGGGGGAUAACUACUGGAAACGGUAGCUAAUACCGCAUAACGUCGCAAGACCAAAGAGGGGGACCUUCGGGCCUCUUGCCAUCGGAUGUGCCCAGAUGGGAUUAGCUAGUAGGUGGGGUAACGGCUCACCUAGGCGACGAUCCCUAGCUGGUCUGAGAGGAUGACCAGCCACACUGGAACUGAGACACGGUCCAGACUCCUACGGGAGGCAGCAGUGGGGAAUAUUGCACAAUGGGCGCAAGCCUGAUGCAGCCAUGCCGCGUGUAUGAAGAAGGCCUUCGGGUUGUAAAGUACUUUCAGCGGGGAGGAAGGGAGUAAAGUUAAUACCUUUGCCCAUUGACGUUACCCGCAGAAGAAGCACCGGCUAACUCCGUG